UACGAAGGGUGCAAGCGUUACUCGGAAUUACUGGGCGUAAAGCGUGCGUAGGCGGUUUGUUAAGUCUGUCGUGAAAGCCCCGGGCUCAACCUGGGAAUGGCGAUGGAUACUGGCGAGCUAGAGUACGGUAGAGGAGAGUGGAAUUCCCGGUGUAGCGGUGAAAUGCGUAGAGAUGUGGAGGAACACCGAUGGCGAAGGCAGCCUCCUGGGCCAAUACUGACGCUCAUGCACGAAAGCGUGGGGAGCAAACAGG
rnacentral:rRNA from 1 species